rnacentral:rRNA from 1 species
AUUGAACGCUGGCGGCAGGCUUAACACAUGCAAGUCGAGCGGGGUGAUGGUGCUUGCACUAUCACUUAGCGGCGGACGGGUGAGUAAUGCUUAGGAAUCUGCCUAUUAGUGGGGGACAACAUCUCGGAAGGGAUGCUAAUACCGCAUACGUCCUACGGGAGAGAGCAGGGGAUCACUUGUGACCUUGCGCUAAUAGAUGAGCCUAAGUCGGAUUAGCUAGUUGGUGGGGUAAAGGCCUACCAAGGCGACGAUCUGUAGCGGGUCUGAGAGGAUGAUCCGCCACACUGGGACUGAGACACGGCCCAGACUCCUACGGGAGGCAGCAGUGGGGAAUAUUGGACAAUGGGGGGAACCCUGAUCCAGCCAUGCCGCGUGUGUGAAGAAGGCCUUAUGGUUGUAAAGCACUUUAAGCGAGGAGGAGGCUCUUUUGGUUAAUACCCAAGAUGAGUGGACGUUACUCGCAGAAUAAGCACCGGCUAACUCUGUGCCAGCCGCCGCAGUAA